rnacentral:lncRNA from 1 species
UUGUGCCAUAAACAACGAUCAUCUCUCCAUCCGUAGCUACAGCUAUCUUCUCAUUGUCCUAGCUAGAGUCAUUGCUUGAUUUGUUCUUCAGUUUUUUUUUUUCAGUAAUCGACAGUCUUUCUUAAGGUGGCUUCAUUUGCCGCAGUUGAAUAUCUGCUACUUUAGAAUUUGGAUCUUCUCUAUGAUUUAGCAUGGCCAUCAU